rnacentral:rRNA from 1 species
CCUACGGGCGGCAGCAGUGGGGAAUAUUGCACAAUGGGGGAAACCCUGAUGCAGCGACGCCGCGUGAAGGAAGAAGUAUUUCGGUAUGUAAACUUCUAUUAGCAGGGAAGAAAAUGACGGUAUCUAACUAAGAAGCACCGGCUAACUACGUGCCAGCAGCCGCGGUAAUACGUAGGGGGCAAGCGUUAUCCGGAUUUACUGGGGGUAAAGGGUGCGUAGGCGGGGAUGCAAGUCAGAAGUGAAAGCCCGGGGCUUAACUACGGGACUGCUUUUGAAACUGUGUUGCUAGAGUGCAGGAGAGGUAAGUGGAAUUCCUGGUGUAGCGGUGAAAUGCGUAGAUAUUAGGAGGAACA